UACGUAGGGUGCGAGCGUUGUCCGGAAUUAUUGGGCGUAAAGAGCUCGUAGGCGGCCAACUAAGUCAUACGUGAAAUCCCCAGGCUCAACCUGGGAACUGCGUCUGAUACUGGUUGGCUUGAAUCCGGGAGAGGGAUGCAGAAUUCCAGGUGUAGCGGUGAAAUGCGCAGAUAUCAGGAGGAACACCGGUGGCGAAGGCGGCUUGCUGGGCCUUACCUGACGCUGGAGGAGCGAAAGCCGGUGGGGAGCGAACAGG
rnacentral:rRNA from 1 species